CUUGGUGGUUAUGGCGAAGGGGAAACACCCGUUCCCAUUCCGAACACGGAAGUUAAGCCCUUCAGCGCUGAUGGUACUUCGUCUUAAGACGCGGGAGAGUAGGUCGCUGCCAAGC
rnacentral:rRNA from 1 species